AGUGAACGCUGGCGGUAGGCCUAACACAUGCAAGUCGAACGGCAGCACAGUAAGAGCUUGCUCUUACGGGUGGCGAGUGGCGGACGGGUGAGGAAUACAUCGGAAUCUACUUUUUCGUGGGGGAUAACGUAGGGAAACUUACGCUAAUACCGCAUACGACCUACGGGUGAAAGCAGGGGAUCUUCGGACCUUGCGCGAUUGAAUGAGCCGAUGUCGGAUUAGCUAGUUGGCGGGGUAAAGGCCCACCAAGGCGACGAUCCGUAGCUGGUCUGAGAGGAUGAUCAGCCACACUGGAACUGAGACACGGUCCAGACUCCUACGGUAGGCAGCAGUGGGGAAUAUUGGACAAAGGGCGCAAGCCUGAUCCAGCCAUACCGCGUGGGUGAAGAAGGCCUUCGGGUUGUAAAGCCCUUUUGUUGGGAAAGAAAAGCAGCAGGUUAAUACCCCGCUGUUCUGACGGUACCCAAAGAAUAAGCACCGGCUAACUUCGUG
rnacentral:rRNA from 1 species